CAUGCACUGGUGGGGUCCCUCAGCCUGGCCUGAGGACAUCCCCCAGGGGGUCCUGGAUUGCAAGAGGGCUCAGGCCAGGAUGAGGGACCCCACCGGUGCAUG
rnacentral:pre_miRNA from 1 species